AGUAGGGGGCCCCUAAGGGGAUUAUUCAGCCGCUAUGUGUCGAAUUCAACCCCUACGCGUUUCAUAGACAAAAGAAACCCCUCAUUUGACAGGAGCUGGCGGCUGACUGCUGAAUUACCGAUAUUUGUCAGCCAAACCAUCCCCUGGCAUUUUUUUUGUUGUUAUUCGUGAUUUAUUUAUUAGAAAGUGGACGUUCGGAUCGUUAUAAGUGAAGUUAUAAACAGCGAGUUAUAGAGAUAUAUAUUCGCAAUUGCGUAAACCCAGUAUAAUACUAUGGCGAUAUGGAAUGUACGAAAGAUUCUCAUAUUAGGCAUAAUAUGCCUCUGUUUGAUGAAGAAUGAACACAGAAGACCAAGAGAGGAAUACCAAUACCGCUAGUAUUAUACAUUCUAGCAGCACUUCGAUUCUAUGAAACGGGAUGUUAUCAGACUGUAUGUGCAUUCCAUCAAGCAUUCUAUGAAAUAACAGAAAUGCCACAAGUCAAGCUGUAUUGAUGGCACGCAUAGGUAUACAUAUAAACAACCCCGGAGGACCCUAUGCACAGAUUUAAAGAAACCGGCUAUCAUGGCAGGGAAUAGCAGUGAUGAGCUCUGAGAAUACUGUUUUACCAAGAAUACUGAGAAUACUUUGGUCCUUGAAAAUCCGAGUUUUCAGAUCACAGUAAUUGGAAGACCCACAUACCUUGAAAAGUCAGCAGCAUUUAAUAUAGAGGUAGUAGGAGUGAGUGCAGUAUGUUGUAAGGUGGUCACUCACUCUGAAGUCCAUAACAAUAGAAAAUGUAUACAAAUCUUAAUUGAAUGAAAUUUAUUGAUUCACAUCUUUAAUAAAGAUAAUUAUUAAAUGUUUA